AUUGACCGCUGGCGGCAGGCUUAACACAUGCAAGUCGCACGAGUGGCGGACGGGUGAGUAAUGCUUGGGAAUCUAGCUUAUGGAGGGGGAUAACUACGGGAAACUGUAGCUACUACCGCGUACCACAGGAUGAGACCACUUGGGAUUAGGUAGUUGGUGAGGUAAAGGCUCACCAAGCCGACGACCUCUAGCUGGUCUGAGAGGAUGACCAGCCACACUGGGACGGAGACACGGCCCAGACUCCUACGGGAGGCAGCAGUGGGGAAUAUUGCGCAAUGGGGGCAACCUGACGCAGCCAUGCCGCGUGAAUGAAGAAGGCCUUCGGGUUGUAAAGUUCUUUCGGUAGCGAGGCGUUACCUACAGAAGAAGCACCGGCUAACUCCGUGCCAGCAGCCGCGGUAAUAC
rnacentral:rRNA from 1 species